AUGCAUGAAAAUGGAGAAGUGGGGACAUACAGGUGGAAGAAUGAGUCGCCGAAAUCAGGCUACCUCUAUCGAGGAUCAAGGCGACCUGCUGGGCUGUCUUGCUCGGGGACAGCCACGAUGCGAUGUGGAUCCAAGCUCGCUGUAGCAGACAAGAUCCAUGCCCAUAUCGCCUCCAAGGACGACGACGACAACGAUACUGUCAAGAUCGACAAGCUCACCUCCUCCAUUGCGCAGAUUGACAGGAUGUGCGCAAAGAAACAUUUGAGCUACAGGUUCAGAUAUAAUUACCAUAGAGGAUGA
rnacentral:rRNA from 1 species